AUGUAGCUCAGUGGUAGGGUGUUUGCCUCUCAUGCAAGAAGCCCUGGGUUCAGUUCUCAUCAU
rnacentral:tRNA from 1 species